rnacentral:rRNA from 1 species
GACGAACGCUGGCGGCGUGCUUAACACAUGCAAGUCGAACGGAAAGGCCUGCUUUCCCUUGUGGAUUGCGGGUACUCGAGUGGCGAACGGGUGAGUAACACGUGAGUUAUCUGCCCCCAACUUGGGUAUAAGCCUGGGAAACUGGGUCUAAUUCCCGAUAGGACUGCAGGGUGGUGCCCGUGGUGGAAAACGAUUUUCUAGUGGUUGGGGAUGAGCUCUCGGCCUAUCAGCUUGUUGGUGGGGUAAUGGCCUACCAAGGCGGCGACGGGUAGCCGGCCUGGGAGGGUGGACGGCGACAUUGAGACUGGGACACGGCCCAGACGCCUACGGGAGGCAGCAGUGGGGAAUAUAGGACAAUGGGCGGAAGCCUGAUGCAGCGACGCCGCGUGGGGGAUGACGGCCUUCGGGUUGUAAACUCCUUUCGACCGCGAGGAAGCCACCUGGUUGGAAGGGUGGUGACGGUAGUGGUAGAAGAAGCACCGGCUAACUACGUG